UGAAGAAGGAAAAAAACCACCUGUGCCGCCAGUCUGAUGAAAAAUCAGAAAAAAUCCAUCAGCUGGAAGAAGCACUAAAAAUAACCCAACACCUUCUGAAGGAGACCCAGAAGAAUUCUGAAGAGAUGAAAAACUGAAAUGAUGGAGGAAAACAUGAAAAGAUUACUGAAAUGGCAAAGCGAAGUUGAAAUUAAUCGUCGCUCCUUAGAAGAGAAAAGAAAAGAACGGGAAAAGGAAGUAUUACGUCAGCUCCGUGCCUUAGAGACAGUGGCUCAGCAGGCCAAGGAGAUCAUACUGAACCAGGACUUGCAGCAAGCCAAG